GGGGUGUGGGCAACGGUCUCACCAGCUGACUGCCUCCGGGUAGCUGGAGGGCAUGUGUAGGCAGGGAGUUUUGCCUUGAGAGCCCAGGAGAGCAGUGAGUGAGCAGAGUCCUCUUGAGCCUCGAAGGAGAAGGCCAGGCACCCUGCCCAGGCCCCACCAUGUGCAGACUGGAGCUGUUUCUGAAGAGGUCCCUGGUGGUCCUCCUUUUCCUGGGCCUGACAGAGGCCUGCAUUCCUCGUGAAGUCGCAAUGGAAGAAAAAAUCAAAUUGCUGAAAGGAAUUGUGGGGCUGAUGAGCAGACUGUCCCCGGAUGGUUUCAGACAAAACAUCAUAUCCUCCUCCAAGACGCCUCCCCUGGUAACCACUCCAGACAGGACAGAAGAAGAAA